UACGAAGGGGGCGAGCAUUGUUCGGAAUCACUGGGCGUAAAGGGCGCGUAGGCGGCCCUCCUUGUCGCGUGUGAAAGCCCCGGGCUCAACCUGGGAACGGCGCGCGAGACGGGGGGGCUGGAGUUCGGGAGAGGAGCGUGGAAUUCCUGGUGUAGCGGUGAAAUGCGCAGAUAUCAGGAGGAACACCAAUGGCGAAGGCAGCACUCUGGGACGUGACUGACGCUGAGACGCGAAAGCGUGGGGAGCAAACAGG
rnacentral:rRNA from 1 species